UGCCCGUUAGCAAAAAUGCUAAGGGAAUACCUCAUCACUUAAGUUAUUUGAAGCAAAUUAAAGAGAAUAUCCCGCAUAUCUAAAAACGCUUUCAUAGGUUGUCCAAACAAUAUGUAAAACAUUAGUCAUACGUUAACUGUUUCCGUUAUUGUAGCCUAUUUGUUUGACUAUAAAUAUUUUUCAGUUAUGUACUGUAUACCACCCUACAUCUACUAUUUCAUUACCGGUUAACGUACAGCUUGAUGUUAUCAAUUAGUUCCAUAUAAUCCACAUUUGAAAAUUAUGAACAAAUCAAUUAUAUAAAAACAUACGCGGGUUGUAUCACAGAUUGUAACAUUUUGGGAUAACAUUCAAGCAUGGUUACAUACUGUUCACAAAGUUGGAAUAGAUGCCACACAAACAUUGAAAAUUUUAUGGUUUCAGAUUAAACAUACCGUAAGGGGAAUGGUUAUGCGGCGCUUGUGUGCGUUUGGCUAGUCCGGUGAAAAUUUUUCACUGCUGUCCGUUGUUAUAUUUUUUUUCAUUUCUUCGAAAAGAAUUUCGGAACUUCUUGGGCUGCCGGAACAUUAAUUGAUUUGAGCAUGCUGUUGCAAAAUAUCCUCAGAAUUCCAGAAACACGAUACAUCAAUGCCACAAAAUUUGUGGGAAUAUUAUUACGUCCAUCAACGGCCUUAAAGCAGGAAAUUAAUCGCUGAACUUGAUUUUAGACCGUUUCGCAACUUCCAGCAGUUGAGCAGUGAUGUUUUUGGUGUGGCUCAUUCGACGCAAUAAAGUUCCGGAGAGGAGAAAUCAUAAAGCAGUUCAGGAUAGUUUUUCCAGACAAUGAUUCCACCAACUUUCGGAACGGAUAUUAAUUUCAACGUUUCAGGGGCUAAACACCGCCGAUGAGGUUCAUAUUGAUUGGUUGCUAUAGCCGAUUGGUAAGGCGGUGGAAGAUAACUUCAACAGAGUGGAAUCGACAGACUUGGGAGACAUAAAGGAAGAAGGCAGGUUUUGGGGUUUCUGUAGACGUUAAAGGUGGUACAUCCCGAUGAUGAACAGACCAACGUGAGUGAGAUCAUUGCACUG